rnacentral:rRNA from 1 species
GAUGAACGCUGGCGGCGUGCCUAAUACAUGCAAGUCGAGCGAACGGACGAGAAGCUUGCUUCUCUGAUGUUAGCGGCGGACGGGUGAGUAACACGUGGAUAACCUACCUAUAAGACUGGGAUAACUUCGGGAAACCGGAGCUAAUACCGGAUAAUAUUUUGAACCGCAUGGUUCAAAAGUGAAAGACGGUCUUGCUGUCACUUAUAGAUGGAUCCGCGCUGCAUUAGUUAGUUGGUAAGGUAACGGCUUACCAAGGCAACGAUGCAUAGCCGACCUGAGAGGGUGAUCGGCCACACUGGAACUGAGACACGGUCCAGACUCCUACGGGAGGCAGCAGUAGGGAAUCUUCCGCAAUGGGCGAAAGCCUGACGGAGCAACGCCGCGUGAGUGAUGAAGGUCUUCGGAUCGUAAAACUCUGUUAUUAGGGAAGAACAUAUGUGUAAGUAACUGUGCACAUCUUGACGGUACCUAAUCAGAAAGCCACGGCUAACUACGUG